AAAAAAAAAUUAAUGAACAUUAUUACAAGGGCUAAAAUUGGAGACAACAAGUGAAUUACAAAUUCAUUUAGUUCCCUAAUACAAGUGAAAUAGCAUAAAUUGUGAAUGUAUCAUAUUAAUAUAUAAUGUAUGUGAACUCAAUUUUAAUUAUCUCAUUUUGAUUAUCAAUUUGUUGUGAUAUUAAUAUUAUUGCACUUAUUUUU
rnacentral:misc_RNA from 1 species